rnacentral:lncRNA from 1 species
AAAUAUCCAGUCUGUGGCCUGGAGAUUACAAAGCCGUAAUCAGAAAUACUGGUCAACUGAUCUGUGUAUUUUGUGAUGACAAAGUACAGCAGCCACCAAGAGAAAACACAUGGCCAUAUUGAAAAGAGAGAGGAAAAGUAGAUUUUCUGAAGAGCCAGUGAAAAGGAAGUUUCAGGUUCAGAUUUUCAUUGGAAAAAAAGUGAUUUUCUUCACCCUGCAGUACUGGUUUUCAGGACUCACAUUUUAAUCUGAGAGGAUACUUUCCAUGUACUCAGGAUUUACAUUCCAUUGCUGGCCAAAACCGAUUGCUAAGAGGCAGCUGGAAAUUAGCACCACAGCAAACUGACAAUAAACAUUGGCAAGAAGCCUACUCA